ACUAGCUACCUCGUUCUACAAGCUAUGGCCAUGUGGGGGAAUGACAGACGACUGAAAUUUGUUGGGGAUGCAAAGACUCUUCGAAAGAACUUUGUGAUUGAUCUGUUAAGUUAUGAGGAUAAUUCGUGCCGAUAUGCCAUCCCUGCAAAUAUACAACAGAGACUUAUCGAUAUCGCUAAAAAGGAUUAGCUGAUUAGUGUACGGUUGUCGACACAUUUGUCUGUAAUUAAAAAUUCUAAAUUAACUUUUUAGAAAUAAUUUGUGUGACAUUGAUAAUG